rnacentral:rRNA from 1 species
UACAGAGGGUGCGAGCGUUAAUCGGAAUUACUGGGCGUAAAGGGCGCGUAGGCGGUAGAUUAAGUGAGAUGUGAAAUCCCUGGGCUUAACCUAGGAACUGCAUCUUAUACUGGUUUGCUAGAGUAUUGUAGAGGGUAGUGGAAUUUCCGGUGUAGCGGUGAAAUGCGUAGAGAUCGGAAGGAACACCGGUGGCGAAGGCGGCCUGCUGGGCAGUUUUGCUGACACUGAGGCGCGACAGCGUGGGGAGCAAACAGG